UCGUACGGUCGGAAAUCGGUGAAAAUUGAAAAUAAAAAUAUCGGUGAUGUGCCUGCCGAUUCGUGUCAGAAAUGGUCCGCCAUAUUGACAAAGGGAGAAGACUCUUACAUAUGUGAAUUUAUAGAAACCAACUUAGAAGCUGAUAUCACUGAAAGAAUCGCUUACAUAAAUUUAUAUUAUUAUAAAACUAUGCUGCUUUCACUUGAAGAAACCUAUGUCCGAUUUAGCAUCAUGAUUUUAUUGGAGCUAACCACAGUCACUGUGCUAAUUGUUAAGCACACGGAUAAUUUCUAAUUUAGCUACAUCUAUACAAUGGAGAAAUGUAUUGUGUGUCUAAAAGAUGACCACCCAACAACACUGAUCAAAUUGCGACAAAAAGG